AUUUCAUGCAGAGUGGUUGAGGGACGAGCCCUGAGACGCCACGACAACCGGACAAGGCAAGAUCGUACCGGUGUCAACUCUCUCCUGGAAACGGGGAACAUGAGAU
rnacentral:ncRNA from 1 species